rnacentral:rRNA from 1 species
UACGUAGGUGGCGAGCGUUAUCCGGAUUUACUGGGCGUAAAGGGCACGCAGGCGGUUUGGCAAGUUCGGUGUGAAAUCUCUCGGCUUAACUGGGAGUGGUCGCCGGAAACUGCCAAACUUGAGUCAAUGAGAGGGAUGCGGAAUUCCAGGUGUAGUGGUGGAAUGCGUAGAUAUCUGGAGGAACACCAGUGGCGAAAGCGGCAUCCUGGCAUUGCACUGACGCUGAGGUGCGAAAGCGUGGGUAGCGAACGGG